rnacentral:rRNA from 1 species
GACGAACGCUGGCGGCGUGCUUAACACAUGCAAGUCGAACGGAAAGGCCCUGCUUUUGUGGGGUGCUCGAGUGGCGAACGGGUGAGUAACACGUGAGUAACCUGCCCUUGACUUUGGGAUAACUUCAGGAAACUGGGGCUAAUACCGGAUAGGAGCUCCUGCUGCGUGGUGGGGGUUGGAAAGUUUCGGCGGUUGGGGAUGGACUCGCGGCUUAUCAGCUUGUUGGUGGGGUAGUGGCUUACCAAGGCUUUGACGGGUAGCCGGCCUGGGAGGGUGGCCGGCCACAUUGGGCCUGAGGUACGGCCCAGACUCGUACGGGACGCAGCAGUGGGGAAUAUUACGCAGUGGGGGGAAGCCUGAUGCGGCAGCGCCGCGUUCGGGAUGACGGGCUUCGGGUUGUAAACCGCUUUCGCCUGUGACGAAGCGUUAGUGACGGUAAUGAGUAAAGAAGCACCGGCUAACUACGUG